rnacentral:rRNA from 1 species
GAGCAUGUGGUUUAAUUCGAUGCAACGCGAAGAACCUUACCUACUCUUGACAUCCAGAGAAUUCGCUAGAGAUAGCUUAGUGCCUUCGGGAACUCUGAGACAGGUGCUGCAUGGCUGUCGUCAGCUCGUGUUGUGAAAUGUUGGGUUAAGUCCCGCAACGAGCGCAACCCUUAUCCUUGUUUGCCAGCACGUAAUGGUGGGAACUCCAGGGAGACUGCCGGUGAUAAACCGGAGGAAGGUGGGGACGACGUCAAGUCAUCAUGGCCCUUACGAGUAGGGCUACACACGUGCUACAAUGGCGUAUACAGAGGGCUGCAAACUAGCGAUAGUAAGCGAAUCCCACAAAGUACGUCGUAGUCCGGAUUGGAGUCUGCAACUCGACUCCNGAAGUCGNAAUCGC